ACGCGUCGCUAUAUAAGCGCAGGGGGCGGGCCGGUGGGCUAGUCGCUGGUGUCCGAGGCUGUGCGGGCGCCAUGUCGGGCCGCGAGGGUGGCAAGAAGAAGCCCCUGAAGCAGCCCAAGAAGCAGGCCAAGGAGAUGGACGAGGAGGACAGAGCGUUCAAACAGAAGCAAAAGGAGGAGCAGAAGAAACUGGAGGAGCUGAAAACGAAGGCCGCGGGGAAGGGGCCCCUGGCCACAGGUGGAAUUAAGAAGUCUGGCAAAAAAUAAACUGUUCCUUGUGCCUAAGAUGAUGGUGAUCCUGGAUUCCAUUACUAUUCAGAUAUCUGGAUUCCCUGCCAUAACAUCUCUUGACACCUAUAACUAGAAUGGAGUGUGUUCUUGGAGUCUGUUGUACAUUUAAGAAUAAAAUUUUGUAGAAAAAAGAAAAACCCA